rnacentral:misc_RNA from 1 species
UUUAAAUAACAAAAUCGAAAACAGUGCGAGGGAAUCAGUUGAGUCCGUCUGAAAUAGCUGAUAUUUAAAACCAUGACCUCAAUACCAUAAUUUUCUUUAAGUUAGUAGUUUCACAGUGGAAAGAGGUGAGACUGCUUUGUACUUGUAGUCCACGACCCACAUAACUGCAUAAGAGUUAGCCUUCAAGUUGGACGAUAAGGUUGCUCAAAAAUAAAAUGUAGACCACAGAUGUGAUGCAUCAUGCAGGGCCCCUUAAUAGGAUACUCUAAAAUAAAACAUCAAGACUAAGCUCAGAUAGGUUAUAUCUCCCAUCAUAACAGCAAAUAACCACAGUAUUUAAAGCCAGUUGGAGUGAUGGACACACAGGUAGAUUUGAUAAUAAG